rnacentral:rRNA from 1 species
AUUGAACGCUGGCGGCAGGCUUAACACAUGCAAGUCGAACGAGUGGCGGACGGGUGAGUAAUGCUUGGGAAUCUGGCUUAUGGAGGGGGAUAACGACGGGAAACUGUCGCUAAUACCGCGUACCAUAGGAUGAGCCCAAGUGGGAUUAGGUAGUUGGUGGGGUAAUGGCCUACCACGCCGCCGAUCUCUAGCUGGUCUGAGAGGAUGACCAGCCACAUCGGGGCUGAGACACGGCCCGUACUCCUACGAGAGGGAGCAGUGGGGAAUAGUGCGCAAUGGGGGCGAACUGACGCAACCAUGCCGCGUGUAUGAAGACGGCGUUCGGGUUGUAAAGUUCUUUCGGUGACGAGGCGUUAAUCACAGAAGAAGCACCGGCUAACUCCGUGCCAGCAGCCGCGGUAAUUC